rnacentral:rRNA from 1 species
UACAGAGGUCUCAAGCGUUGUUCGGAUUCAUUGGGCGUAAAGGGUGCGUAGGUGGCGCGCUAAGUCAGGUGUGAAAUUUCGGAGCUUAACUCCGAAACUGCAUUUGAUACUGGCGUGCUUGAGGACUGGAGAGGAGACUGGAAUUCAUGGUGUAGCAGUGAAAUGCGUAGAGAUCAUGAGGAAGACCAGUGGCGAAGGCGGGUCUCUGGACAGUUCCUGACACUGAGGCACGAAGGCCAGGGGAGCAAGCGGG